ACCUUUGACCUGGAUUGGAGGAAAUGAUGGUGGUCAGCCAGAGUUGACAAAGAUACCUCUUCAUACACGCUUCAUCAGAAUGACCACAGUUAGAAACACUCCACAGGGACAGUCUUGCUCCAAGAUCUUUAAGGACAGGAGCUGGUCCUGGACUGAUGGGUCUGGAUUUAAUUACCCGGAAUGGGCACAAGGGGACCCCAACAACUAUAAUGGUGUCAGAGAGCCGUGUAUUCAGAUGAACUUUGGAGAUGAACGUCGCUGGAACGACGAUGUCUGAGAAGCGCUUUGCAUCAGUCUGCUGCUGAGGCCAUUAAAUCAAGUGUUGUUGCUGUGACAUCUUCCUGUUGAAUGUUGUGGUUGUCAAUAAAACCACUGAACACA